CUUUUAUACUUUCAUCUUGUCAUGCUCGGAAUUUUUCUUUAUAAUUUUUUAUUCAUAAUUUAUUUCCUAGGUGGAUCUAUUCAAUAUAUAUUUAUACUUAUGAUACAACUAUAUGUUUUUACUUACUUUAUCGGUGAAAUUCAAUUAACAUAGUCAUAUAUACCUAAUAUAAUAUAUAUCUUUAUUGAUUGUAAAUUGUGAUUUAUUAUAGUUUGGAAUAAGCAUAUGGCAUAUAAUAUAAUUGACCAGAU